AGAGGUGGUGGGAGCAGUGGGCUCUGCCUGUCCCCACCCCCACCUGGGGCCUCAUACCAUCCCACUAUCAUGGGUAGUGCCUACCACUGGGAGGCCCGGCGCCGGCAGAUGGCUUUGGACCGAAGGAGAUGGCUGAUGGCCCAGCAGCAGCAGGAGCUGCAGCAGAAAGAACAGUUUCUCUGGCAGAUGGGUGAUUGGGUGGGGAGAGGAUGAUGCCACUUGCCCGGGGGCUUCUUGCCAGGAACUGAAGAAUCACCAGGAGGAAGAACAACAAUCGGAGGAAAAACUCCAGCCACAUAAGAAGUUAAAUGUGCCGCAACCACCAGUGGCGAAAUUGUGGACAUCACAGGAGCAACCACAGCCAUCACAGCAGCAGCCAUCAGUGCAGCCACCAUCACAGCCACCACCACAGCCAUCAACAUUGCCACAGGCACAGGU
rnacentral:lncRNA from 1 species